ACGGGUGAGUAAUACAUCGGAACGUGUCCGCUCGUGGGGGACAACCAGCCGAAAGGUUGGCUAAUACCGCAUGAGUUCUACGGAAGAAAGAGGGGGACCCGCAAGGGCCUCUCGCGAGCGGAGCGGCCGAUGACUGAUUAGCCGGUUGGUGAGGUAACGGCUCACCAAAGCAACGAUCAGUAGCUGGUCUGAGAGGACGACCAGCCACACUGGGACUGAGACACGGCCCAGACUCCUACGGGAGGCAGCAGUGGGGAAUUUUGGACAAUGGGCGCAAGCCUGAUCCAGCUAUUCCGCGUGUGGGAUGAAGGCCCUCGGGUUGUAAACCACUUUUGUAGAGAACGAAAAGACACCUUCGAAUAAAGGGUGUUGCUGACGGUACUCUAAGAAUAAGCACCGGCUAACUACGUGCCAGCAGCCGCGGUAAUACGUAGGGUGCGAGCGUUAAUCGGAAUUACUGGGCGUAAAGGGUGCGCAGGCGGUUGAGUAAGACAGAUGUGAAAUCCCCGAGCUUAACUCGGGAAUGGCAUAUGUGACUGCUCGGCUAGAGUGUGUCAGAGGGAGGUGGAAUUCCACGUGUAGCAGUGAAAUGCGUAGAUAUGUGGAAGAACACCGAUGGCGAAGGCAGCCUCCUGGGACAUAACUGACGCUCAGGCACGAAAGCGUGGGGAGCAAGCAGGAUUAGAUACCCUGGUAGUCCACGCCCUAAA
rnacentral:rRNA from 1 species